rnacentral:rRNA from 1 species
GACAGAGGGUGCAAACGUUGUUCGGAAUUACUGGGCGUAAAGCGUGUGUAGGUGGCUGUGCAAGUCGGAUGUGAAAGCCCUGGGCUCAACUCAGGAAGUGCACCCGAUACUGCAUAGCUAGAGUACCGGAGAGGUUGGUAGAAUUCUCGGUGUAGAGGUGAAAUUCGUAGAUAUCGAGAGGAAUACCUGUGGCGAAGGCGGCCAACUGGACGAGUACUGACACUGAGACACGAAAGCGUGGGGAGCAAACAGG